UAAAGACAUGACAUUGUGGAAUGGUUGACCGGAGACUGGACCAGAAAACCUCAUGCCUGGUGCUGGUCUUGUAAUGUCACUGAGUCAUAGAGUCACGACCUUGAAAAUAAGGUCAUUUGAAUGACCUCAUCUUACAAGAUAAAUUCCUGAUCCUCUCAAAUGCCUCUGAUGGAAGCAGGACAAAGAUGACCAGACCCAUUUCACAGAUAGGAAAGUGGAAAGUGAGAGAAGGUUGGGUAGUCUGUUAUAUGACGCCACUGUUCUCAAGAUGGCAGCCCCUAAGACGGCCCCUGGAAGGAGGUGGAUACAGGUCCUAUACAUGGGACAGCAUAA